UACAGAGGGGGCAAGCGUUAUUCGGAAUUAUUGGGCGUAAAGGGCGCGUAGGCGGCCUGGCAAGUGGAAGGUGAAAUCCCUCGGCUUAACCGAGGAACUGCCCUCCAAACUGCUUGGCUUGAGUCCGGGAGAGGUGAGUGGAAUUCCCAGUGUAGCGGUGAAAUGCGUAGAUACUGGGAGGAACACCAGUGGCGAAGGCGGCUACCUGGACCGGUUCUGACGCUGAGGCGCGAAAGCGUGGGUAGCAAACAGG
rnacentral:rRNA from 1 species